rnacentral:rRNA from 1 species
AUUGAACGCUGGCGGCAGGCCUAACACAUGCAAGUCGAACGAGUGGCGGACGGGUGAGUAAUGUCUGGGAAACUGCCUGAUGGAGGGGGAUAACUACUGGAAACGGUAGCUAAUACCGCAUACCAUCGGAUGUGCCCAUAUGGGAUUGGCUAGUAGGUGGGGUAAAGGAUCACCUAGGCGACGAUCCCUAGCUGGUCUGAGAGGAUUACCAGCAACACUGGAACUGAGACACGGUCCAGACGCCUACGGGAGGCAGCAGGGGGGAAUAGUGCACAAUGGGCGAAAGCCUGAUGAAGCGAUGCCGCGUGUAUGAAGAAGGCCUUCGGGUUGUAAAGUACUGUCAGCGGGGAGGCGUUACCCGCAGAAGAAGCACCGGCUAACUACGUGCCAGCAGCCGCGGUAAUUC